rnacentral:lncRNA from 1 species
CCCUAUUGGCGUGAAAGCGCACGCUGGACUGUGGGACCUUAGCCAUGCCGAGUUCAACAAUAGAGUUCGGGUGGGUAAAAAUUCCCUUGUACUAAUAAGUAUUCAUAGCAAGAUUAAUUGAGAAGGGCGGAUUGAUCAGCGAAGCCUAUGAAGGCAGCACUUCUUUGGCCUCCCCCAGUUUUAGCCCACUAUGUCACCAAUGGAGGAAACUUGGUGCAGGUUGGCUUUAAAUUAAUCUUCAAUUAAGACAAGGUCCUCUAGAACCGAGCCAAAUCGAUCUGGGAUGUGAUAACAAAGUGCUGAAGAAAUGAAGGAGGCUGGGCGGGGAUAUGUCAUGCUUUGUUUUGUUCUGCUAUAAAUCUCAUGCAUGCUCUCUCUUUAUAUUUAUCCAUUCUUUCCCUGAAGAUGAAGGUCAUUCCACCAAAAUUGAUCCCGUCUAUGAUGAUAUCACUUCCCUUUCAAGCCAAAGUUAACAUCUGCCUUCACUAACUCCAUUUGUAUUUGUGUAUGUUGGUGACAAUGGAACCUAGAUUCGUUGGUUUAAUGUUUUCAUUCUACACUCAUAUUUGUAUGAAGGUCUGCUGAAUCUGAUUAAACGAUUGUUUGGAUAUUUGAGUAGUAGUGUCAACAAUAAUAACUUCAAAUAUGCUUUUAUUUUCUCAAAUCCAAGAUAUCGUUGAUAUAGUUUGGAAGUUAAGAUCAACUGGGUAGAUAAGGGUAGCUAGGUUUCAGAGAUUAAAAGUUUUCUAUUUCUUCUGCUGUGUUAUUUUACUUGAAAAAAUGUAUUACAUUGCUAAGUAACUUUAUAGGCUGUGAGACAUAUAUGAACAGGUGCGUUCAUGUGUCACAAGAAACCAAGCUAUCCCAUGAGAUCCUACGACAGAUCUCCUGCCUUGCUGAAGAAGCUAGAAAAAGUUUAUCAUAGUUUUUCCACUGAGACAAUAAAUCUUUAUGAUAAUCGUAAGUUCCUAACUACCCGCUCAUACAGGUAAUUCAUAGAGAGGAGGAGGAUGGAGAAGGCUGCUAGAGCCUGAUAUGUUCGUUGUGACUUGGGCCUGACCAUUUGGAGAGGUAUAUGUUGAACUGGUGAGGUACAGAUUUCCAUCUGUCAUCUUUUCGUCAGCAUUUUAUUUAUCUUGUGGUUUCUGCAGUCACACAAAAAUUUGGGUACAAUUGAAAUAUAGGAUUAUAUGUAUAAUACUAUUGAAAUUAGAAGAGAUGCAUAUGAAUGUAUUAGAAGCUAGAGUAGGUGCAACAACCAAAACAAACAAGGCGAGGACGCUAGGAACUACACCCAGCUCUCACAGCCACAUAGCUAGCACAAGACCUUAAAGCAAAGUGCCACCAUGAUUCAUACAUGUUCCAGGAGAAACUAGAAUAUGAGCUACAAAUGUAGUGCAUCAGCAACAUUGUCUGUUACUCUGCUUCAUGUACAGUGCCAUUGCACAUUCAGUUAGGUACAUCCAGGACCUUGCAACAUUCAGUCAAGCUAACAGUCGAGCUUUCAGGCUCGCGUAAUCGGGCCGGCCCAUAACCAGGAAACGAGCACGUAAAAAUGGCACGAAAAACAAAACCGCACGCGAUGGGUUCGAUCUCGCGAACUCAAGCUAGGUAGCAGCGACGCCAACCACAUGAGCUAGCUGCCGACUACUCAAAUUGCAGCGCCCCAGUUAAAGUAGUUUAGCGACAGGUCUGUUUAUUUUUCUUAAAUAUUUUCAACAAUUCUUGGAAACAAGUGUGGAUGAUUUUCCUUCAAAUAUUUGAAUACAUUUUUAAAAUCAUGAAUAAAUAUCAAAAAUUCAAACAAAAUUUUGCAACCUUAACAAAAUUUGAAAUUCCAAAUGUUUAUUUUAAGAUUGCCAUGGGCGGUCCUCACUUGUAGCUCGAUGAGAUUAGUUUUUUCUAUGUUUUAUAUGAACAUUCCCUUGCAUGCGUGUGGUUCGGGCAGUAUCGUGGAUGAGCUCGUCUCGACCAUGUCAGGAUACAUGGAUGAUCAGGUGGUGUGGAUGAUCAGGUGGUGAACGGCCGACUUGGGUUCGGGUGUCAUGUCAAAAUAGAAGGCACAUCCAUGUGCAUGUAUGUGUGUGAGAGAGAAGAGGGGUCUUUAGACAUCACAGAAGCCGGACAUGCGAUAUUUUUCUUUUCCCGUUGCAACGCACGGGCAUUUUUGCUAGUA